rnacentral:tRNA from 1 species
AAAAUGUUAAGAUAAGUUAAUCUAAUAAGUUGUGGUCUUAUUUAUGCUGAUGCACAUUUUA